rnacentral:misc_RNA from 1 species
GAAGUCGAAAAUAUAGAAUAAAAAUUUUUCGUUUGAGGCUUUGUUUUCGAGAAGAUCGACUUUGAAUUUUCGCUCGGUACGCGUGCACUUUAUCACGUCUCGUUAUAACGGAUCUCACUGUAAAUCGUUGUCUCGAUUGACGUUAUGUUGAUAAACACUUCCAAUGUGUUAGAAAGUGUUCAUAGAAAUUUGAUUAGAAGAGCAGCAGUAUGUGUUCGGCAGAAUGGGCAACAUUUUCAGCAAUUUUUGUAAUAAUAAACUUUAUGAUUACUUCAUAUUAUUUCAUUAUGUAUUCCUAAUUUUCCGGUGAUUCUACGAGACAACGAUCUACAGUGAGAUCCGUUAUAAGGAGACGUGAUAAAGUGCGCGCGUACCGAGCGAAAAUUCAAAGUCGAUUUUCUCGAAAACAAAGCCUCAAACGAAAAAUUUUUAUUCUAUAUUUUCGACUUCUUUUUUUGCGUAGAAUCACCGCCUUUCCGCUUGUACCACCAGUUACCAACCACCCUGUAAAACUUAUAUUUAUAAUGAUGUUAUAUUUAAUAAAUUUGUUUUUAUGUUUUACAUCAUUUAUUGAAACGUUAUUCGUUGUUACAGCAGAACUUCACUUAUUGAAACGCAAUUUGGUUAGCGUUCGACUCAUUGAAUUCCUGUCGAUUGAAUUCGAUUAUCUGAAAAUGAACUGUACUAUAUGAAAGGAAAAUCAUAGUAGAGAGAAUUGGUGAGCUCCUAUUCUAUAUAAAUCGAUAACCUCGGAAUUUUACCAUACUAAAAAUAUACAAAAAUUUUCUUUCUUUACAAUCACUGACAAUUAAUAUAUCUAGCUUUAUUACAGGUAUAAAGAAAUACAAUCAUACGUCUACAACUAUUAAUACGUUGAAAAACACGCAAGUUUCACAGGGAUGCCCCGUGACGCCACGAUGAAUUUUUUAUUAUGCGAUACAUAUAAUGUUGAAAUAUUACCCACAAGAGAUGUGUUACGGUGUAUAACCAUCAUUAAUGAAUUUAUUUUUAUAAUAUUACUUUUUGCAAUUAUCAAUUAUCUCAUAUUGUUUCUUCGCAUUGCUAAAUAAUUGUUCUAUGUUGUUACGUCCCGG